rnacentral:lncRNA from 1 species
UCGUGUUGUUCCCAUCUUUAAGAAAGGCAACCAUUUACUCUUAGAAAAUUACUGUCCUAUCUCAUUAACAUCACCAAUUUCUAAAAUGCUUGAACAUGUAAUAUCUAAACGCAGUGCGGAAUUCCUCGAACAAAACUCUAUACUAACUAACUUUCAGCAUGGCUUUAGACAGGGUUAUUCAACCGUAACUCAGUUAGUCACAGUGGUUCAUUCAUUUGCAGAAGCUCUAGAUAAUAAUGGUCAAAUGGACGUCAUAUUCCUCGAUUUUAGUAAGGCAUUUGACAAAGUUAUUCGUCACAAACUACCGUAAUUACGAAACUUAAGGACAUUAAUCUGCCAGAUAUAUUUAUUGCAUGGAUUGAAGACUACUUGACGGAACGUGCCCAGUUUGUUUCAGUAGAUGGGAACAAUUCGAGCUUUCUUCCCGUAACAUCAGGCGUACCCCAGGGCAGUGUUCUGGGGCCAUUGUUGUUUUUACUUUAUGUAAAUGACAUUGUUAACGUAGUACUACCAGGAACUCAAAUCAGACUGUACGCGGAUGAUUGUGUGCUUUUUCGUCAAGUUACUUGUACUAAUGAUCAACACAAUUUGAAUUUUAGUCUUAAUAACAUAUUAAACUGGUGUAAUGAACAUGGUAUGGCCCUAAACGUACAAAAAACUGUUUAUCUUUGUGUAACUCGUACAAAAACACCUCUUGACUUUACAUAUAACCUUGGCCCAUCAUCACUGCAACAGGUAACCAGCUACAAAUAUCUCGGCUUAACAAUAACUGAUGACCUGUCUUGGAACCUACACAUAGACAACAUAUGUUCUGCCGCCUUUCGUGAGUUGUGUUUUCUAAAGCAUAAGCUUAGAAAUUCUCCUUCUAACAUUAAACUUCUUAGUUACUUUACCUAUAUUAGACCUAAACUAGAAUACUCUUGUGUUGUGUGGGACCCCCUUCACUAAAUCUAACAUAAAAAAACUUGAAGCUGUACAAAGAAACCCAGUUAGGUUUGUUUAUUCUAAAUAUAAAAGUACAGACUCACCGUCUGAACUCAUGGCUGCUAACAACAUUGAAAAACUUGAACUACGACGAAAAAAGAACCGCCUCAACUUUCUUUACCUACUUCUUAAUCGUAAGUUAGCCCUUGACCCACAUGCAUAUUUAUCUCCUCUGUCCACUAGACAUACACGACAUCACCAAGCCCAUUCUUUAACCCCGUACUUUGCUAAAACUAACGCGUUUCAGUUUUCCUUUUUCCCGCGUACUGUGUUAGAAUGGAACCGUCUAACUGAUCUUAGCCAAUUUUGUGUAACGUAGAGCCUUGAUACUACUGUUAAUUGGUGAUACGUACUAUUGAUGUUAUGUUUCCAUAUUACGUAAUAUUUUCCUAUGUUAUCUUUUGUGUUUGUACUUUUAUCCUACCGCUUGUACCUGUCCUGCUUGGACCAAUUCUUGGUCUGCAGUAUGAAAUAAAUAAAUAAAUAAAA